CAGGAGGGACAGUGCGAGCGGGGGGCACCGGGUGGCGGCGGCGGCGGCCCCGGGAUCACCAUGGCCGAGCUGCUCUGGAGCCUGCAGGAUUCCCAGCUCGUCGCCCGCUUCCAGCGCCGCUGCGGGCUCUUCCCCGCGCCUGAUGAAGGCCCCGGCGAGCCCUGUGCUGGCCCCGCGGAGGGCGCGGCGCGGGCGCCCGGGCUUGGACAUCUCCCCGCGGCCAAAGGCAGGGGCGCCGGGGAGCCGGCCAAUGGGCUGCGGAGAGUCGCGGUCCCGCAGGCUUAUGUACAGAAGUACAUUGUGAAGAAUUAUUUCUACUAUUACCUAUUCAGAUUUUCAGCUGCUUUGGGACAAGAAGUGUUCUACAUCACAUUCCUUCCAUUCACUCACUGGAAUAUUGAUCCUUAUUUGUCCAGAAGACUGACCAUCAUAUGGGUUUUGGUGAUGUAUAUUGGCCAGGUGGCCAAGGAUGUCUUGAAGUGGCCCCGCCCCUUCUCCCCUCCUGUUGUGAAACUGGAGAAGAGAGUGAUUGCUGAAUAUGGGAUGCCUUCCACCCAUGCCAUGGCAGCCACCGCCAUCUCCUUCACCCUCCUCAUCUCUACCAUGGACAGGUACCAGUAUCCCUUUGUUUUGGGACUGAUGAUGGCUGUGGUGUUUUCCGCGUUGGUGAGUCUCAGCAGACUUUACACGGGGAUGCACACAGUUCUGGAUGUGCUGGGUGGCACCCUGAUCACCGCCAUCCUCAUCGUCCUCACCUACCCCGCCUGGACCCUUCUCGAUCGCCUGGACUCGGCCAGCCCCCUCUUCCCUGUGUGUGUCCUGGUGGUACCAUUCUUCUUGUGCUACAAUUACCCCGUGUCCGAUUACUACAGCCCGACCAGAGCGGACACCACCACCAUUAUGGCUGCCGGGGCUGGGGUGACCAUAGGAUUCUGGAUCAACCAUUUUUUCCAGCUCGUGUCCAAGCCCACGGACCCUCUCCCUGUUAUUCAGAACAUCCCGCCCCUCACCAGGGACCUGUUCGUUCUGGGUCUGACCAAAUUUACGGUGGGAAUUGUGCUGCUCCUCCUGGUUCGUCAACUUGUACAAAAUCUCUCGCUGCAAGUGCUGUACUCCUGGUUCAAGGUGGUCACCAGAAACAAGGAGGCCAGGCGGAGACUGGAGAUCGAAGUGCCUUACAAGUUUGUCACCUACACGUCAGUUGGCAUCUGUGCCACCACCUUUGUGCCAAUGCUACACAGGUUUCUGGGAUUACUGUGAGCCUCAAGUGGUCGGAAAUCAGCUCACUGGACGUGAGAGCAAGACAUCAAAAAGUUGUUGAGUGGGGAAGUUUUGACAACACAUUUUUCUUUAAAAAAAAAAUUAAAAAAGCCCUAAGUCGGGCUUCCCUGGUGGCGCAAUGGUUGAGAGUCUGCCUGCUAAUGCAGGGGACACGGGUUCGAGCCCUGGUCUGGGAGGAUCCCACAUGCCGCGGAGCAGCUGGGCCCGUGAGCCACGGCUGCUGAGCCUGCGCGUCUGGAGCCUGUGCCCCGCAACGGGAGGGGCCGCGAUAGUGAGAGGCCCGCGCACCGCGAUGAAGAGCGGUCCCCGCACCGCGAUGAAGAGUGGCCCCCACUUGCCGCAACUAGAGAAAGCCCUCGCACGAACCGAAGACCCAGCACAGCCAAAAAUAAAUAAAUAAAUAAAAAUAAAAGUAGCUAUAAAAUUUAAAAAAAAAAAAAAAAAAGCCCUAAGUCACAUGUCUGUUUUGCUGGUACCUGAGAGAAAUGUUGCUGCUUUAUGGAAGGGAAAAUGGUCUCACGGUGACCACUAGCCUGUAAGCGUAAUGUUGCAGAUGAAGCCAGGCAAACCCGCAGCUGAGUUCUUUAAGGCGCCUCACCCUGUCCAUUACUUGGACUUUGGACCAGUCCUGGGCUGGCAGGAGCUGCGGCCUGGCUUAGGAACGGCCACAAGCCCCCCUGGGUUCUGGAGAGCCUAAGGAGACGGGCAUGAUCCAGGAGGCUGGACGUCGGGCGUUCCUUUUCAGCUGUGACCUUGCCCAGCACUGAGUCUCAUUUCCAAAACUGGAAUGUUGGCCCAGGAGAAGGGGUGGCGCUACGUAAAACUGCAUUCCUUGGACAGGGCGACUCUCUUGUCAUGAUGAUCACAUUACACAGUGCCUGCUGGAAGGGGGCGGGGGGAAGAGCACCGGGAACCUCGCUGGGAAGCAGGAAAGGCGGGGGCGAAGCAUGGGCAAGAGCCUGCAUUCCUUAUGCAUCCUGGUCUCUGUCGGGUGCAUACUGAACCGGGAUCCACUCCUCCUCGUUUGUACACUUUGCAGGAUUCCAGGCACCAUUUCUGUCCUCUUCUGACCCAUGAACCCAACUGGCUGCUCCCAUCUCACCUCAUCUGGGUUCCUCUGAGUGUCCUGCUCUCUCCUGCGUCAGAGUGACUUGGGACAAGCCCUCUGCUCUUCUUCAGCUUUCUUGCUUCCUUACAAACUGGGAAGCCAGUGUCGUCUGCCUGUGAAAGUGGAUCAGUAGAAGAACAGAUGAACACAAUCCUUCCUGGGGCUUGACAAAGAGGGACUAGCCCUCCCUCCCUGACACUCGUCCUCCACUUCUUAGUUACUUUUCCUACAUCUGUUUUCUCAUCUGCUGAAUAGAACCAGCGGCUCCCUUUCCAUCUUCCCACCUCUUACCUCUUGGCAGUUUUAAGGGUAAUUAAUGCAAGAACGACAUCAGCCUCUCUUAGGAAAACAAGCCAACAAAAUACAACACCUUUAAAUCUCGGGAGAGUCCUUAGACUUAGGAAGGUGGUCAUUAUGCAGACAACCCCCUGCAGGGGUUCCUCUUCAGUUCCUAAGAAUGAGGAGGAACAGGUAUCAACAGUGUUCUUAAAAAUCUUUUUCCCCCAGAUCCUCAGGGUUCACGCGACCUGAGUUGAAAAGAGGCGACAAAAAUAAACAGGAGGCUGUACAAUUCUCUAUCGCUGUCAUGAUUCAGUCACGUGCAAAUGUUGGUGAGCAUCAUAGCAGCCACAAGUGUGAUGAACAGGAAGUAAGUGGUAAGACUGCAUGCUUAAUUCCCCUCCUUCAACUCCUUGAUACUAAAGAACAUCCUCUUACCACACUUAGAGAUAAAUGUCACUCUGUGUUGAAAGGUGAAUGUUAAAGGCGAGGCUGGGAAAGGUAAGUAAAACAGAUGAGAGUAUGUUGUCUGCUGAGCAAAAUGGACAUGACCGCAUUUCACAUUCACAUCGUUGCAACGAUAUGCUCUGCCUUUAAGCAUCCCUUGCUGUUUGAAAUGGUGCCAAAGGCCGAUGACGCUCUUAUUUGCAAGGCUGAGGCUAGGACCUAUUUGUACCUUGAAUGCUAUGUAUUUCAUAAUACCUAAUAUGCUGCCUGCUUGAGGCUGGAUGAGACCUCAGCUGCCCUGUGGAGUUCUCUCCUGAGAGAGGAGACUCAGGCUCAGAAAAUUACAACCCAAGACCCAAAGUGUUAAGGCUGUAGGGAAAAGACAACUUUGUAGUGUGAAUUGAGAAGAGGGAGAGACGAAUUCCAGCUUUGAGGUCUGUGACUCAAGGGAGGCUUGUGGGAGAAGCAGUGUGUGAGCCAGGCUUAAAGAACAGAUGGGGUUUGCACAGGGAUGUGAUGCACAGUAGGCAUGAGCUGGUACUCCAUGGUGAGGGCACAGCUUGCCAGAGACACUUCUCCAAAAACCUCCAGCUCUAACAAGGAGAAGACAGACCACACCCGUGCUGGUGAGUGUGUGUGGGAAUAACAGUGGUGGCAGGGGUGGGAUAAACGGUGAGCAAGGGGCUUUGAUGUUGCAGAACCGAAUCACGAGAACAGGAAGGAAGCAUAAGAAGCUCUUUAGUCCAUUUCCUUGCCUCCACAUGGGACCAUCCAGAGGAGUUGACAUCUACAGGUGAUUAGUCUCCUUUCAUUGUUCCUCAUUCGAAUAUUUACCCGUGGGUGCCUUCCCCUUCUGCCGUCUCUGAACCUGUCAUUCCCAAGUCCUCUUGUUCAUCUCUCAGCAGAUGUGACGGCAGCGAGGGACUCAGUCUGUGACCUUGGUGCCCAUGCCUCUUCCCUCUUCUCUUUGCUCAGCUCCCUGAAGUAGUCCCAUGAAACUUCAUUUUAAAAACAUUUUACCACGAUCCUGGCUCUUUCCAGGACCCGUAAAUACUCCAUGUUGCUCUUUGAUGAUCAAGAACCAAGCCCUGUUUCUCUAGUAAGAGAGAGGUUAACCAGAACCAAGUGGAAUGUUAGUAUAGAUGUAUCUCGUUUUAUGGAAUAGAUGUUUUCCUUAAAAGCUGCCUAUGUGUUGGUUGUUUAAAUGUGAAUUUUAAGUGCACCGAGGGAUUUGCUGUUUAAAAAUCAUAUGGCAAUUUUUCAUUUCUGUAAACAUAAGGCUCCUUAAUGGAUUAUUUGGGAUACACCACGCAUGCAUUGUUUUCUUCAAGUGGGGCACACCUGUAGUGCAGACUUGACUAUUUACAGGAUGCAUAUUAAGAAGAAUGAGAGCUGAAUGUGGACCAUGAAUAGAAUGUUAAAUUCUUAAAACUGUAGCCUCAUGAGACAAGGGAAAUCUAUACGAAGCCAAAAUCCUUUUUCCUCUUCCACGCCUGUCUGUAUAGCAUGCAAAAGCCAGCAAGACAAGCAAGGAUGUAGCUGGAGUUCUGGCUGGGACGCUUCUUUGCUGCACACACUCAACACACCUGCUGGCACCUGUUAGCUGGCUCUCUCUCGCUAUGACAUCAGGGUCCCCUUGGUUGGAGCACAAGCCAGAUUCUUUCUCAAUGGAGAGGUUCAAAGGAUGGCAAUGCCUCUUCAAUACACACAAAGCCAGCCUUAAAGCAUUGGGGGUGGGGCAGGGUGACGGUACUGCCAUCAUGCCAUCUACUUGCAUCCGUGAGCCUAAAUAGGAGCCAGGACCUCCUGGGCUUCCAGUCUGCAGUGUCUCUUGGGAACCAGGUGGAUGACCCUGUGACAGGGGACACUGUGCACGGGGCACACUAAACACAGACCAUUUCAGCCGUCUUAAUUAGGUACUGAUAAAAGUAUUUGGCUGGAAAACUAUUUUUGCUGUGGGGGAAUAAAACCACAGCUUAACGUAAAUUCUUCAUGAAGUGAGUCAAUCAAUUCUGCUGCUAUUAAAUAGGUAAUAGUACUUUUAGCAGGGUAUCCCUUUCUACUUUAUCUCCAACAUCACAGUUUUUUCAUUGAUAGAAACUCAAAAUAUCCAUCUUCCACAUCUCUACUUGUUCAGUCUUCGCUCUGGCUUCUUAAAGAUAUGGGAUAGAGUUAUAAUAUGCUGGUCUAUUAAUUUUAUCAGCUAUGUAAUUUUUCAGUCUUUUCUAUUCAUUUUUCCCCUUCCUAUUGGUUGUAUUUGCCACUUUCUUUGCUUGUCUGAUAAUUCUUUUUAUUGGAUGCCAGAUUCUGUGAAGUUUACAGUGUUGGGUGCUGGAUAUUUUUUUAUCACUAUACAUAUUUUGUUCUAGGAUGCAGUUCAUUCCUUGGAAAUAGUUUGAUUCUUCUGGACCUUAUUUUUAAGCUUUAUUCGUUGACCCAGAGUAACGCUUAGUCUAGAGUUGGUCUCCCCACUACUGAGGCAAAGCCCUUCUGGGUACUCUCCCCAUGGUUUCCCAGGUUUGCUAGCUCCGGCCCACCUUGUGUGGGCUCCCGGGGCGGUUCCCUCACGUCUUGUGGAUGUUCCAGGUGGUCUCCUCUAACGGGGCAGUUCCCGCACGUGCAUGCACUCAGUGCUCAACGGAAGACUCAAGGGCAGGGGCCUCUGCCUAUCUCUCCUCAGCUCUUUCCACUUCCCUGCCAACUCUAGCCACUUCGGCCUCUGUGGACUCCCAGCUCCACCUCCCCAACUUCUGGAGACCUCCGACCUCCACCUGGGUCCCCACCACUGCACCACAGCCUGGACUCUGUCCAGGCCGUAAGCUGGAGAAUCACAGGCCUCACCUUGUUUCUUUUCUAUCUCUCGGGGAAUCACUGGCCUUCGUUGCCUGAUGUCUAAUGUGUUGAAAACCAUUGCUUUACGUAUUUCAUUUGGAUUUGUAGAUGGGUAAGCAAAGGAGGAAAACGUCCCUUGGGAAGAAGGAAGUAAAGACCACAUGUAUGGAUCAACUAGGAUGCAAGACGCUGCACUAACGUGAAGACUGGAGAGGAGGUCAGGUCCAGCUGAUCAUGCUUGUUUGUAUUACGCUCCAGAACAAGCCCUGUCCAGGGCCUCCCUGUGACAGGUGUGGUGCACAGUGUUUCCCACAGGUUGUCUCACCUACACGAUCUCUCUCCUCCCUACAGCACGGUUUGCUAUUGGGGCACCUUUCUGUCUGGCUUAUUUUGCUUCAUCUGCCGCAGGCUCACCGCCAGGGCUCCGUGUUUAAAUGUUGUGCCCGACACUCACAGCUAAGAGAUCUCCAGUGAAUCCCGUCCAUCUCUGAGUAGCCUUUCACCCCACAUGUAUCCAGCACCAGUGUGGAUGUCUACACAGCUUUGCCUCCGUUACAACUGGUUUCUUGCUGGCCAUAAGUAGGUACUCAUUUUAGGGGUGGGCGGAAUGUAGGAAACUUCUUUUUCUGCCAGGUUUGGAACCAAGCAGGCACAUUUCCUCAACAUCCUCACUUUUCUGUCUUAAAGAAAGGGCAGAUUUGCUUCGCACGUCUUACAAGUCCUAUAAUUCAAAUGCCGGAGCAGUUCUCUCAUGCCAGCGCCUCCUAACACCUGGGAGGGGUGGGGGAGGGCUUUUUCAAAAUGUGUUCUAAUGCAGAACAUGUCAUGUUCCUGAUUUCCUUAAACAGAGACAAUCAAGCCCAAACCUAUGGAUGAGGAGUGAAGAACUUGAGUGUAGGCCUCAAGUAUAUUUUUACUGCACUGCAUGGGUCACAUGAGGGAGAAGAAACAGGGCUUUAGCCAUACAUAAUUCAAUUAAGCCCUCUGCUGGAGGUGUUUGUUCAACCCACAGUCUACAUGUUUACAGUCAUCCUUUCUGUUUACUAGAAAGUUGAAGGUGGGCAGGAAACCUGAAAACAAAGCAGGCGGUAGUGGAAAUGAAAAUCACCCGGAUUGUUGUCAAGUACUUGCCACGCGGCUCCUCUGCCUUUGUCCAAGGAGGCCGAUUGCCCACGUGGACUCUGGUCAGGGGCCUUAGGGAGCUGCUCACAGAUUGUCCCAGAGAGUUGGAAACAACAGAAGGUUCAUCAACAGAGGAACAGCUGAACAAAUUAUGGACAUCCAUGCAAUAGGAUUUUGUAUCAUUUAAAAGGGCUCCCAGUUUUUACUACAUAGGUGUGUCUUCUCCAGUAGAAGCUUUCUGGCAGGCAGUGCCCACAGGCUGCCCUGGCUCCAGUUCAAAUGCCUCACGGGGACGAGCGUAAGACGAUCUGGCUGUGGAGCCUCCACUCAUAAGCCGAAGGUUCGUUUCUCCUUCUUCUCAUGUGCCCGAUAUUGUUAUUCUUCCUGCUGUUUCCUGCUUCAGAGGGCA